UACGUAGGGACCAAGCGUUGUUCGGAUUUACUGGGCGUAAAGGGCGCGUAGGCGGCUUGACAAGUCACUUGUGAAAUCUCCGGGCUUAACUCGGAACGGCCAAGUGAAACUGUCAUGCUAGAGUGCGGAAGGGGCAAUCGGAAUUCUUGGUGUAGCGGUGAAAUGCGUAGAUAUCAAGAGGAACACCUGAGGUGAAGACGGGUUGCUGGGCCGACACUGACGCUGAGGAGCGAAAGCGUGGGGAGCGAACAGG
rnacentral:rRNA from 1 species